rnacentral:rRNA from 1 species
AGAGUUUGAUCAUGGCUCAGAAUGAACGUUGGCGGCGUGGAUUAGGCAUGCAAGUCGAGCGCGAUACCUCCUUCGGGAGGUGGAAAGCGGCGAAAGGGAGAGGAACACGUGGAUUAUCUACCCCUGGACCCAGGAUAGCUGCGGGAAACUGCAGGUAAUACUGGAUAACGUCUCCGGACCAAAGGUGUGAUUCCGUCCAGGGAGGAGUUCGCGUCCUAUUAGCUUGUUGGUAGGGUAACGGCCUACCAAGGCGAUGACGGGUACCGGGUGUGAGAGCAUGGCCCGGCUCACUGGGACUGAGACACUGCCCAGACACCUACGGGUGGCUGCAGUCGAGGAUCUUCGGCAAUGGGCGCAAGCCUGACCGAGCGACGCCGCGUGCGGGAUGAAGGCCUUCGGGUUGUAAACCGCUGUCAGAGGGGAUGAAAUGCGGGUGGGUUCUCCCAUUCGUUUGACAUAUCCUCAGAGGAAGUACGGGCUAAGUUCGUGCCAGCAGCCGCGGUAAGACGAACCGUACGAACGUUAUUCGGAAUCACUGGGCUUAAAGGGUGCGUAGGCGGUGCGGAAAGUUGGGUGUGAAAUCCCUCGGCUCAACCGAGGAACUGCGCUCAAUACUACCGUGCUCGAGGGAGACAGAGGUGAGCGGAACUUAGGGUGGAGCGGUGAAAUGCGUUGAUAUCCUAAGGAACACCGGUGGCGAAGGCGGCUCACUGGGUCUCUUCUGACGCUGAGGCACGAAAGCUAGGGUAGCGAACGGGAUUAGAUACCCUAGUAGUCC